rnacentral:tRNA from 1 species
GCAUCCAUGGCUGAAUGGUGAAACCGCCCAACCUAUACAAGGGGCAAAUUCGUAGGUUCGAUUCCUACUGAAUGUG